UAUCCAACAAACACUAUAAAAAUGUUUGAACAAUUGGAUUUCAAACAUUUUCGUUUUGUGGAGUGGUGCUCACCAAGUGGUACAGCCCUAAGCAAGUGAACACAAACACAUUUAAGUGUAUUUUGUCUGAUUAGAUGUUAGCCAGUUAUGCUAUUUCAUUCAAAUGUCUGAAAAAAUCAAUUGACUAUUCCCUUUUCCUAAAGGGCAGAGACAGAUAAUCUCACUUCCAGAGAAAUGACUUGGAGAAAAAAAAGUGUUGGUCUUUUUGCUCUUUUGUAAUUAAAUCCGGAUGUACCUCAAAAGACUUAAGACUGUGGUGAUAAGAUGCUUUCCUCAGCAGAAAGGAGGGAAAAAAAACAACUGGAACUCAAAGCUUGAAAUUCUGUGGCAAAACAUGAGAUGUCCAGGAUUGGAGGUUGAAAAGAUUUCACUACAGUGUUCUGCAAUAGUUGGAGCAGAUAACUUUCAGUGUAGCCACAGCCAUGGACUCCAGAUUUCCAGAUUUUCAAGACCUGGACCUGGAACCCGAAAGAGCUUGUCACGAUGCGGCAGGAACACUGGAGGUAGAUUUUUUUUUAUUUUUGAAUUUUGGGACUGUUGACCUUGCUGUGAGAAAAGAGACAACGACUGAGCAAGCACUACCACCAGCACUGUUACUGGGAAUUAGAAGACCUGAGUUUCUGUCCAGACCCUCAGUGCAAACUGAGGAUGCUCCAUCCAAAGUGAAUUAUGCCUACAGACCUGGUACCUGGAUUUUUGCCCGAGAUGAUUCCUACCACCUUACUACUGACGAAGACACCCAUUCCAGUGGACCACUGUGACCCAGGAGGCAUUCAGCCAUCAUGAUGUGGCCUUUACCUCCACUCCUGUCUUGUUCUACCCAGAUUCAGCACAGCCCUUUAUAGUGAAGUCAGAGUCCUCAAGCCAAAUAGCUAAAGCUGUUUUAUCACAACAAAGGCCUAGUUUGUUCCAUGAGUGUGCAUUUCAUUUCUUCAGUUAAAGCCUUCAGAGACACACAAUAAAUUUGGACCAGGGGAUUUUUUAGUUAUUAAUGCUCUCUGAAGAAAGGCAACAUCUUUUUGAGAGCAGCAUUGGACCACACCCCACAAUCUCAAAUGAUUGAAAUUCAUGAACAUCUAGGAUCCCGUGAAGGUCACUGGACCCUGUUUUUUCUACUUCAAAUCCUGUAGUAGCCUACUGAAUGAGAAAACAUAUUCUGACCCAUUGGGAUCAAAUC
rnacentral:lncRNA from 1 species